rnacentral:rRNA from 1 species
AGUGAACGCUGGCGGUAGGCCUAACACAUGCAAGUCGAACGGCAGCACAGUAAGAGCUUGCUCUUACGGGUGGCGAGUGGCGGACGGGUGAGGAUUACAUCGGAAUCUACUUUUUCGUGGGGGAUAACGUAGGGAAACUUACGCUAAUACCGCAUACGACCUACGGGUGAAAGCAGGGGAUCUUCGGACCUUGCGCGAUUGAAUGAGCCGAUGUCGGAUUAGCUAGUUGGCGGGGUAAAGGCCCACCAAGGCGACGAUCCGUAGCUGGUCUGAGAGGAUGAUCAGCCACACUGGAACUGAGACACGGUCCAGACUCCUACGGGAGGCAGCAGUGGGGAAUAUUGGACAAAGGGCGCAAGCCUGAUCCAGCCAUACCGCGUGGGUGAAGAAGGCCUUCGGGUUGUAAAGCCCUUUUGUUGGGAAAGAAAAGCAGCAGGUUAAUACCCCGCUGUUCUGACGGUACCCAAAGGAUAAGCACCGGCUAACUUCGUG